AACAAAAUGUGCCAGUACUACUAAUGUAGAACUAAUGUUCUACUAAUGUAGAAAGUUCAACAAAGACUUAAAAAGCUAAAAUAUAGAAAAGCUGCAGGUCAGCAUGUAACAUCAAUUGAGCUGCUAACAUAUUAAAGAGCAAUACAAGACGCAACCACAUGACGCAACCAACAAGAAUUACCAACAACAUUAUGAAAGAAAAAAAAAUGAAGCAUUUAUUUUGUAUUAUUUUAAGUCUUUGGUCAUGUAAAAUGUGUAACUUAAUAUAUAAUUAAAGCUUUUUGUUAAGAAUGCCACCUUAAACAAAAGAUGCUUAUCCUCGACUGACUUUUCCAUUAUGUCGUCACAGAAAAAAUACCUUGGCACUAAGACCAAGUGACUGCUACAUUGCUACAUUCCGGCCAGCAGCCGCGAAGGCCGCAUUGCACAUGCAUUCAUAAUACAUUUCGCUAAGAGAACGAACGUACGGGAAGGUUGUGUCGUUUUAUUUUGGUCGCAGCAUCCCAGAAUCUGGCGGAUGAGCCUACCCUCCACACGAUUCUCAGUUGUUCCCUCAUGUCCGCGUAACCCACAAGCAGCAACGCUACAACGCUAGUUACUACAAUCCCAUCCGACUAAUCAAUUUUUAGGUGUAGCUUUGGUUAUGGAAAAGUCUAGUUGUGGCUACGAACACGCCUUGGUUCUAAGUGGCUAUGCGGCCGACGUCACGGGCACUAUGUAUUCGUGGCUGACGUCGUGCCAGAAGCGCGUUUACACCGUUAAAGGUUCUGAUUGAAGUCUGUAAAUGCACUAUCUGGUACGACAGUCGGGCAUGUGCAAGCAUCUUUGUUGUGUGCACGAUUAUUAUUAUUAUUUUUAGAGGUCCAGAUAUGGUUCCACCUUCAUGCAAGAACUAGUUAACUCAGUUUGAAUAGUUUAUAAAAACAUAGAUUCACAUAGUACAAAGAACAAUAAGAAAUAUAUUAAGCGCCCAUGUCCAGUUUACAUACAGUUUAUUGCAUCCUUUCAUAGUCCAGAAUAUUGUAGCGUAAUUACGGUUAAAAUAAUACUCUCGGUUCGUUUAUACGAAUUUAUUUAUACAAGUUUUCUUUUACAAUCUCUAGCUUAAACUAAACUCUUCUAAUACCGCAAUUUGCUUAAAUACAAAAUAACGUUAUUCUCGAUAAUUCCAGACUUAGCCACCUCUAGCUAUUGUGUGACCUUCCACAUACCGCACAUCUUUCUCCACCGAUUCCACGUAUAUCGUGCUUUCGCCAGAAUGUUCUCGAGAUGGAACCGUUUGGAGCUGCUACUUGCGGUCGGUGAUUCAUUAUUUUGUUACAAUAUGCUUGAAGGAGGCAAGAAUGUAUUAGGAGGUACUAGAUGGUCUGAUAAGUAACCUCCCUAACACAUAAUAGGUAGGGGAGGACCAAAUCAGGAGAAUUAGUUGAACGAGAAAGCAAUUUAGAAGCUUAACUCAUGAAUUUUUGUUGUGACCUUCCACAUACCGCACAUCUUUCUCCACCGAUUCCACGUAUAUCGUGCUUUCGCCAGAAUGUUCUCGAGAUGGAACCGUUUGGAGCUGCUACUUGCGGUCGGUGAUUCAUUAUUUUGUUACAAUAUGCUUGAAGGAGGCAAGAAUGUAUUAGGAGGUACUAGAUGGUCUGAUAAGUAACCUCCCUAACACAUAAUAGGUAGGGGAGGACCAAAUCAGGAGAAUUAGUUGAACGAGAAAGCAAUUUAGAAGCUUAACUCAUGAAUUUUUGUUGUGACCUUCCACAUACCGCACAUCUUUCUCCACCGAUUCCACGUAUAUCGUGCUUUCGCCAGAAUGUUCUCGAGAUGGAACCGUUUGGAGCUGCUACUUGCGGUCGGUGAUUCAUUAUUUUGUUACAAUAUGCUUGAAGGAGGCAAGAAUGUAUUAGGAGGUACUAGAUGGUCUGACCACAAGUAACCUCCCUAACACAUAAUAGGUAGGGGAGGACCAAAUCAGGAGAAUUAGUUGAACGAGAAAGCAAUUUAGAAGCUUAACUCAUGAAUUUUUGUCACUGUAAUAACACCCUUGUGAGUCGGUGUAUUGUAUCGAAGAAACCACACUUUUUCUUCUGCAUAUUUGGUAGUUUCUCAUUGGGUUCCUGCUUUAGUUUGUCUAAUAAUGCACCAUAAUAGUGGCUAUUGACAGUUUUAUUAUUUUCAAGACAGUCAAUUAAAAUUAUGCCUUUGCAAUCCAAAAAUAUAGUGGCCAUGUGACUUUUUCGACCCAUUGAUCGACUCUUGGUCGAUUUAGAGCAGGUUUCCCGGCUUCAAUCCACUGUCGUGCUCUGCCGUCCUCAAUUAAAACGCGAUAUCUGCAAAAAAAUUGAAAAUCGAGUUUUUGUUAUAUAUGUGGUUUCCUUGUGACCUUAUUUUAUGCUUCUGCAAUGUCUGAAAGCCGCAUCAUUUUAUUUACUACCAAAAUAAACAAAUUGGAAUAUGCCGUAUGUGCUAAAUUUCAAUAGUUGCUUAAUUAAAAUGCGGUAUCUACAGAGUACUCAACUAAAAAGCAGUAUGUUCAGGCGAGUAUCAUGUACUUGCCGCGUUUUAAUUGAACACAGCGCAUUUACCGCGUUUUAACUUAAUUAUUUUUCCAUUUUUUAAACAUUACGAUUAUUUAUAUUUUGAACAUUUAUGACAUGUAGGUAUUUUGCGUAUGUAAUAAACAAUUAUAAGCUAUUUAUUUUUCUUUUUCGGUAACUAUUCUUCCUUGUAAAAAAUCCUAUUUGUAAAUAAAAUGCAGAUACGGCACUAUUUCAGGUCCAGUAAUAUGUCCGCUGCUCAAUUGCUCAAUUAAAACGCGGUAUAUGACUUUUUAUUUACAGCUUUGAUAAAAACAUGAUUUUUUAAAGAAUACAUAUAUUUUUAAAUAAUGUUCAACUAUCAUUAGAACAUGUUUUAAGUUAAAAAGUUGUCAAAACAUAUAGAGUCCUGAGAAAAAACUUUGAGAGCCGAUUUCUCGGUUUAAAGUUGGCUGCACAUACCGCGUGUUAUUUGAGGACGGCAGUAGCUUUACUUCGAUGAUCCUUAUUUAGCCUUUUUAUACCCAAGGCUCAUUAUAUCAAGGCGACCUUGAAUAUUUUCAGUAAGUUUUACAGAAUCUGCCUUGCUAUGCUGAAGGUUCAUCUGUAGAGGACCUGAUUUGGGCUCUUGUUCUAUUUGGGACAGAUACAGAAUCUCUCCACUGAGGUCGCCUGUCUACUCUGUUCUUUUAGGCAUAGACUUAUUGUUUACUCAUAAGAGUACAUCAUUUCUGUGUCAUCUUCUCUUCUAUCUCUAUCUUAUAUUCCAUUUUAUUCAUACGAGUUGGGAUGAAUUGCUGUCAGGCAGGGCAAUGUGUCUAUACCGUACCAAGGCUAUAAGCGUCCAGACUUGGCCAUCCCUGAGAGCAUCGCUUAGCCAAGACUUGACCGUAAUCUUUUCACAUAUCUCACCGUUAGAUGAGUCAGUGGUGGUUCCGCUGUCUUCUGAUUUAUUGAUUGAGCAUGGUGUACGUGUGAAUGUGAAUGAGCAUGAGUAUGUCUGCGUAUGAGAGUGUAUGGCAUGUUCAAUCAACAAAUCUAGCAGAAAGGAGCAGAUUUAGCACUUUCUAAUUAAAAGAAAUGCUAGAUCUAACCGAAAACUUUAGUCAGAACAUAACUGAACAUAAUAUAUGUAGUUAAUGAAUAGUAUUACUACACUAAUGCGUAGGUCGAAAACACCUCAUAUUCCUUAGCUUAGCUGAAAACUGAAAAAAUAUUGGAGAUACCUAGUUCUUGCAUUGAGGCGAGCAUUUUGUUAACAAAAGUUUAAAAGCCUGUACGUUUUUGUAUAGUACAGAUAUGCAUAUUAUUUUUUUAAAAUAAGUAUUGAAGAAAAUAUGUAACUUUCAACAAUUUUAUAGAAAGAGUCUAUUAUACAUUUGAUAUGCAAUCAUUUUUAUAAUUUUCUUAUUGACUUCUUAUAUGUAAUCUUACUAUUCCUUAAUCCUUGAUAUUAUAAUAUUAAAUUACUUUUACCAUUUUACCAAUAGUUAAGAUUAUAACAAAUAACAGUCAAAAGAUUUAUUUUAUCGAACUCUAUUAAGAGGGCUUUUUCCUUAACUUAGCGUCUGGGAAACUGUUUUUGAUAUUUUCAUACAGGAACUGUUAUCUCUCAAGAAAUGUUGAAUCCUUAACCAUUACGAAUAUUUUCCCUCCUAAAAUAGAUAUCACAUAUAUUUUAAGCAUAAUAAUAACACAGUUUUCACUGCAUUCUUUUUGCUCAAACUAUUCCAUUUAACCACCAUUCUCGUUGGAAUUUUACCGCGCUGAGUAGAUGGGACGUGAAUUGUAAAUUGUAGAAUUCCCCCAUCUUCCUUAGUCUCAGCAUCCGUAUGGCUUGCAAAUUGUAGAAGCCUCGGAGGUGUAACCAGAGAAGGUUGCCAUUGUUUUCAUUCUGGUGGGAUGUACGAGGGUCGUUUUUUUUUCAACCUCCGUUUGUCCAUAAAAAAUUCCCGUGAAGCGUUUCGCCAUUGCGGUGCGCAGUGGGCGACAGCGCAUCUCCCCCGCUACACUCUACAUUAAUCCCGACUUCCAGGCAUCAGUCUGUACUGUGCUACACACGAAACAACAUGGCCGCGACAAUUAGUUCUCCCGCCAAGUGUGAAUUACGCGCUGUCAUUCGCUUUUUGCAGGCAGAAGGCAAUAGUGUAGCUGCAAUUCAUCGAAGGAUGUGUCAAGUGUACGGAGAAGGGUUUAUGAGUGAUGGAGUUGUGCGUGAAUGGUGCCGAAAAUUCAAAGAAGGACGAAAUUAUGUGCAUGACGAAGGGGGUCAAGCUCACAAUUCUGUAGUUACAGAUGAGCUUGUUCAACGUGUUGAUGAAGCGGUGAGAAACAACCGUCGCUUCACUUUAACAUCGUUGGCAAUGGAAUUUCCACAAGUUUCAUUUGACACAUCCUUGAUGUGUCAAGUGUGUGUGUUGUGUGCCAAAUGAAAGCGAAUGACAGCGCGUAAUUCACACUUGGCGGGAGAACUAAUUGUCGCGGCCAUGUUGUUUCGUGUGUAGCACAGUACAGACUGAUGCCUGGAAGUCGGGAUUAAUGUAGAGUGUAGCGGGGGAGAUGCGCUGUCGCCCACUGCGCACCGCAAUGGCGAAACGUUUCACGGGAAUUUUUUAUGGACAAACGGAGGUUGAAAAAAAAACGACCCUCGUAGAAUAGCAUUAUGUUGCUUUAUAUGCCAUUAGAGUGAAAACUUAGCCUUAAGUCGAGCCCUAUCUCUUUUGCCUUCUUUUCUUGUGUCUAGCUUGUAAAUUGUUAAAAUAUACAGAAGUAAUUAUUUGCUUCACCUUAACCUACAAGGUCACCUGUCAACUUAGUGGACCACCAGCUAAGUUGGCUGGUGACUUAUGUCAAACCCACUUGUUGAUAGGGUUUCGAGUAAGGGUCACGUUCCUUUUUAUUUAAUUCUAAAACAUCGACAUUGUGUAGUUUUGAUUUUAAUUUUUUCUACUUUUAAAAUGUAAUGUAAACAAUCCUAUACCGCUUUGUGAAGGGCUUUUUUGGAAGUACUCAAGGCUUCACUGAUGAUGGUCUGAUCAAGGACCGAAAAUGUUUUGAGAAAUUGUAAUCCGUUUGGAUUAAUGUAAUGUUUUCAUUAUUUUAAUGUUUCUAAACAAAUAUACCUAUUACAUUGGAAUUAUUUACUUCAUUGUAACAGACACUUCCUCUUGUAUUAUUAUUUGGACUCGACUCACACUCAACUACACCGUUAGUGCAAUUUUUUUAACCGUGUACCAAGAUUCUUGACUUGUUUUGUAUAGAUUAUUUCUAUAGACCAACUAUGAAAUAAUCCGUAAUGAUAUAGAAAAAAAUAACAUUUGUUUAAAGAAGAUAUUAUGAAAUACAUAUUAUUUUAUAUCCGUCUGUCUAUAUGUGCUAAGGUGGAAAAACUGUUAUUAUCUUUGUUAUUACCUGUUUUAGAUUAGUAAAAUAAUUUAUCUUAAAAUUUAGUUGUUUUAAUAAAUUCUUAAUCAUUUGGCAAAUGAAAUUGUAAAAUUAUUUUUUCACAUUAUGAUAUUUACGUAUUUUAUGAUUUUUAAAAGCCUUAUUUUUACCUACUUAAUGUUUCGAAAUAUAAAAUACUGUCUAAUGAACCUUCCUGUUCAUUAAAUUAUAGGAAAACCGUGUAUUUUCUUUAUAAUAGAUGUACAUAAUUUAA
rnacentral:lncRNA from 1 species